rnacentral:rRNA from 1 species
AUGCAUAGCCUCACCAACCUCCGGCUCUACAAUAACAACCUCGUCGGCAACAUCCCGCACCAACUCUGCAGGCACCUCUCCAUCCAGAUACUGGACCUGUCAAACAACCAGCUCACCGGGGAUCUUCCGCACUGCUGGUGCAACUUCCAGGCUCUGAUGUUCAUGGACCUAUCGAACAACCGCCUCACCGGGAAGCUCCCGGACUGCUGGUGGAACCUAGAGGCUCUGAUUUUCAUGGAUCUAUCCAACAACUCCUUCUAUGGUAAAAUCCCCGCAGCUGUGGCAAGCCACAACUGCUCUCUUAAGUCUCUUUACCUUGCCGGAAAUGGUUUCGUUGGUGCAUUCCCGCCGGUUCUAGAGGGCUGCAACUCGCUGGACACCCUGGACAUGGGGAAUAACAAGUUCUUUGGAGUUAUUCCUCCAUGGAUCGGGAGUCAGAUCCCAUUGUUGAGAAUCCUUAGCCUCAAAUCAAACAAUUUCACUGGAGAAAUUCCUCUGGAGUUAUCACGCCUUUUGCAACUUCAGCUGCUCGACAUGGCAAACAAUAGCUUGACUGGCUUGAUUCCGGUAGCCUUAGGCAGCUUGACCUCCAUGAAGCAUCCACAAAAUCUAUCGACUACGGAACUAUCCAAUGAGUGGAAAUACUAUGAUAGAAUCGAAAUAAUUUGGAAGGGCCACGAACAGUUCUUUGGAAAAGCGAUCCAGUUAUUAACCGGUAUCGAUUUGUCGGGCAAUUUGUUGUCUCGGUGCAUUCCUGAAGAGCUAAUCAACCUUCAGGGCCUCCAAUUUCUAAACCUGUCGAGAAACCAUCUGUCAUGUAGCAUUCCUGAAAACAUUGGUAGUUUGACUUUUCUCGAGUCCCUUGAUCUAUCAUCUAAUGGACUUACAGGAGCCAUUCCAUCGAGCAUGUCAAGCUUACCGUGGCUCACCAUGUUGAACGUCUCGAACAAUCUUUUGUCGGGCAAGAUACCCACCGGGAAUCAGCUUCAGACCCUGACUGACCCAUCAAUUUACUCCAACAAUUCUGGGCUCUGCGGAUUUCCCCUAAACAUUUCGUGUGCCAAUACUUCGCUUGCACCGGAUGAGAGAAAUGGUGAAGAGGAGGAUCACUGGAUGUACUACUGUGUAAUUGCUGGGAUUCUGUCUGGUCUCUGGUUGUGGUUUGGGAUGCUCUUUACAGUGAAGUCCUGGAGAUGUGGUUUUCUUUCCUUUGUUGAUGGCAUGCAAUGUAAAAUUAUGAAAAAGGUGUGACAUUAG